rnacentral:snoRNA from 1 species
UGCAUUUCUAUAGCACCUGUUUUUGUUGAACUGGUGGACAAAGACACAGAAGACAGGUGCAAAACUGAACCCCCUUUGCUCCCCAGAAUUCAUGGUUCAUUCUGAGUUUUGAUACAUACAAGACAUGAUACU